rnacentral:lncRNA from 10 species
CAGCUAGCCUAGCAAGAGGAAGGAUGUGUCCACCUUCUCAGUUUCCACUAAUAGCAUCCUCUGUCUUUGCUUGAGGAAGAGUCUUUUGGAUCAUGACUAAAGCCUGGACAAGCUUCUCUAGAAGCAAUGACAGGGAGUCCUUCAGAGUUUGCAGGUGAUGGAGAGAAUACCAAGACCUAGGCUCCCCGAUCUCCCUGCAUCCCUGUCAUUUUUGGCAAUGUCGCUAAUCGGCCCAGCAGCCCGAAUCCACACGCCCUGGCGUCCAGGCUCUGCAAGGUGCAGCUGGUCUCAGGCCCUGUCUCAGAAUACAGAAGUAAUCAGAAUUUAUUCACGUGGGCUGACUGAGAGUUUUGACAUCAAAGGGCAAUCCUGUCUGAUUGAUACCACUCAAAUGGCAAUGUUGUUUGAAGAAAUGUAGUUAGAGAGAUGACAAUUUAAAGGCUGUAAGAAGUUACGGGAAAAGAUUCUGUGAAUAGAGACUCUCAAGUACUCCUGUAUCCUUGGCCCCAAAGAGGGCUCUCCAGACAGAAAGUUGCCUGCAUGUCUCGGUGCUUGAGAAUGAUACUGCUCUUCACUGCUCUGUCCCCAGAAAUCCAGCAUUGCCUAUGGCAUACCUUCGGAGGAAAGCCUUUGGGGUAAAGAAAUUACAAAAAUGAAGGUGGGGGAGUAUUACCAUUUGUUACAGUCACUUAAGAAUUCUUAACAUGUUUUUGUCAUUGGCUAAAAAC